CUUUCAUAAAAUGAGAUUCAACAACCCAUAAUACAUAGAAGUUACAAAUAUUUAUAGAGAAUAGAAAAUAACUUCCUACAUCUAAGAUUUUGACAAGUGCCUUUUUAAUAACUUCUAGUAUCAAAGAUUGCCACUUGUCCCUUUGAAUAACUUCCGAUAACUUCUUUGUAGGAGUUGUUUGCUUGAUCGACGCACCAUGUCCAUAUUCGACUCUUUGAA
rnacentral:lncRNA from 1 species